UACGGAGGGUGCAAGCGUUAUUCGGAUUUACUGGGUUUAAAGGGUGCGUAGGUGGGUAGGUAAGUCAGUGGUGAAAUCUUCGAGCUUAACUCGGAAACUGCCAUUGAUACUAUCUGUCUUGAAUACUUUGGAGGUAAGCGGAAUAUGUCAUGUAGCGGUGAAAUGCUUAGAUAUGACAUAGAACACCAAUUGCGAAGGCAGCUUACUACACAGUCAUUGACACUGAGGCACGAAAGCGUGGGGAUCAAACAGG
rnacentral:rRNA from 1 species